rnacentral:tRNA from 1 species
UCCUGGAUGGCUUAGUCAGUUAAGCGUCUGACUUUAGCUCAGAUCAUGAUCUCAUGGUUUGUGAGUUCGAGCCCUACAUCAGGAU